rnacentral:tRNA from 1 species
GCCGGGAUAGCAUAACCUGGUAUUGCGCAGGCCUGGAAAGCCUGUUUCCGCAAGGAUAUCUGGGUUCAAAAAUAACCUAUCUGACACUAAGGCAUAGAGCUAUGCUUGUUGCCUGACUUAACACAGAUUGUUAUUCGAAAGUCCCAGUCCCGGCG